rnacentral:rRNA from 1 species
GCGGUAACAGCUCAAAUUUGAAAUCUGGCUCUUUCAGGGUCCGAGUUGUAAUUUGUAGAAGAUGCUUUGGGUGUGGCUCUAGUCUAAGUUCCUUGGAACAGGACGUCAUAGAGGGUGAGAAUCCCGUAUGUGAUUAGGUGCCUUCGCCCGUGUAAAGCUCUUUCGACGAGUCGAGUUGUUUGGGAAUGCAGCUCAAAAUGGGUGGUAAAUUUCAUCUAAAGCUAAAUAUUGGCCAGAGACCGAUAGCGCACAAGUAGAGUGAUCGAAAGAUGAAAAGCACUUUGGAAAGAGAGUUAAACAGUACGUGAAAUUGUUGAAAGGGAAGCGCUUGCAACCAGACUCGCAUGCCGUCGAUCAUCCUGCGUUCUCGCUGGUGCACUCGGCGGCCUUCGGGCCAGCAUCAGUUUGGGUGGUGGGAUAAAGGCCUUGGGAAUGUAGCUCCUCUCGGGGAGUGUUAUAGCCCUCGGUGCAAUGCCGCCUACCUGGACUGAGGACCGCGCUUCGGCUAGGAUGCUGGCGUAAUGGUUGUAAGCGACCCGUCUUGAAACACGGACCAAGGAGUCUAAACAUCUAUGCGAGUAUUUGGGUGUCAAACCCAUAUGCGUAAUGAAAGUGAACGGAGGUGAGAACCCUUAAGGGUGCAUCAUCGACCGAUCCUGAUGUCUUCGGAUGGAUUUGAGUAAGAGCAUAGCUGUUGGGACCCGAAAGAUGGUGAACUAUGCCUAAAUAGGGUGAAGCCAGAGGAAACUCUGGUGGAGGCUCGCAGCGGUUCUGACGUGCAAAUCGAUCGUCAAAUUCGGGCAUAGGGGCGAAAGACUAAUCGAACCAUUACUACUAGGUGGUUAACAGAGUAUAUUGAUGCUUCUAGUCCUUAUUGUACAAGGGCGACAUUGCCAAAUUGCGGGGACGCCCUGUCCAACACUAGACUACCGCGGAUUGCUGAAAAGUGAGUCCGCACAAGGGUCAUGCCUUGGGGUAAGAAUGUCUAGCCUGGGGUAAUCCGCAGCCAAGCCCUAAGUGCGCGAGCAUAUGGGUGCAGUUCAGAGACUAAAUGGUAGUGGGCGCUGGUAACAGCCAGCGCUUAAGUUAUAGUCCAUCCCCCGAGCAAUCGGGGCCGGUGCAUAAGGUUGUACAGCGCUACAAUGGAACGUGAGAGCACGCUUUCAGCUGUACGAUACAACCAUCGGCGGUAGG